UGGCGUGAAGGCAUUUCAUUUAUUACUAGGAAAACAGUUACUGUCGUGCGCUUGUUUUGGCAAAGGCACCGGAAUUACGUGAUUAUAGACGGAGUCGGAAAAGGAAGUAAGAAUGACACUCAACUCGGAUUCGUCCUGUGUCUGCCCCAUAAGUGAUAUUUAUACAGUCCCAAACAUUGUGUCGCCGCUCCGAAAGGUCUGGGUGUAAUCACGUGUUAUCUGACCCGGUAUAUCUAAUAAUGUCAAAGGAUAACAGACACAGGAAGCAAAAUUUUGGAUUCAGACUAAAGGCGAGUGAGGAAAAAAGCAGCGCAGAACACCAAAUCCAGGACCGAGAAGUAAAAAGAGAUACGGUAACCUCUUGUAGCAUCUGAUAAGCACUGGCUGAAGCAACCAAACAAGGUGUUGUACAGCAAUCUACCAAAGAUUAAGAGUAUGGAAAAUCCUGAAAUCGCCUCGCAGAUUCAAUGAAGCACAGUGUCGGUCCAAUUUAAGCCCACGCAUUAGCAUGAAAUGAGUAUUAAUGAAUUUCACACACCGCUCUAUGUUCAAAGGUGUUCCGGUAGCAUACGCACUAUGUCCCUCAAUGAGAGGCAGCCUCAUUGCAUAAGCUGAAAUUGAUCGAAACCAGAAGUCUACUGAAGCCGGAAAUGGAUGAAGCAGUGCAUACAAACACAUAAACUGGCUCCGAAAAGUGGCGUUCAUCGGUACCCGUCUUCUCGUACGUGUCUGAGCAAUGUCACGUUUCGCUGCAAGACCGGACGGUGAUAGGAAUGUUGAAAAAUAAUUCACUAUUUGUGUUUGUUUAUGCCCAGUUUAAUUGUUAUAAAUAAAUAAUCGAUCCCGGUGGAAUGUAUGCAGUAUUGAAAUAAUUGCUAUAAUGGAUAUUAAGGGCCAGUAAAAUGAAUGGUACAUAAAAUAAUCAAGAAAAAAAUCGAAACUUUAUUUCAAAGGAAACUAACCCAUCAGCAGUGUUUUAAUAAUUGUCACUGUUUGCCCUUAGUUAAAAUUUUACAUAGUAGUAUUCCAUGGGUCUGUACGAAGUGUAGAGCAAUAAAGUAAAAUUCAUAUCCGAAAAAAAAUCCAUCGGUCGAACGCAUGAUUCCCUGUGAUAUCGUGUAAAUACAGAACCGGGCAUAAAAUGCACCAUGCUUAAUUUUGCAUUGAAAACAUUGUAGUUGUGCAAUUUAAUAAUGGAUUGGUUUUUUAUAAUUGAAUGUGGGUACGCUCUAAAAUUUUAAUAUUACGCAAAUACAAAGAAACAGGAACACGAUAAAAAUAACAAGUGAUGAUUUUCGCACUUUUUUUGUUCUUAAUGAAGGGUAGCGAACAACAUGUCAAUGUUUAAAAGUUUUUAUGAUUUAUUCUCCAUCGAACUUGGUUCGCACUGAAUGCCAGUCACCGACGUCGGAGCAGAGACUCCACCAUCUGCAUCCUAGAUGUCAAUUCAUCAACAUAUGAUAUUAGACCAAUGGCUUUACUUCCCUUCCGAAGUAUGACGUAACCCGUCAUACUUCAUGCAAGUAUUCGCGGACAUUUGGCACCAACAUUCAAUGCACCAUCGACAGUUUCAAUAACAUUGAAAGAAAAUGAUGGUUUUUAGCCCGCUUCGUCCCAAAAAGUGGCCAAUGCUACAAUUUACAAUUUCAGCGUGCUCCCUCGGUGUGUAUUUAUUCAUAGCAAAAAUGAUGCUGAACGAGUUUUUGUACUAACAGAUUUCAUUCCAAGCAUUUACCACAAAUCUUGGUAUGGCAUUAAGAAUAUGAGAUAAAGGCUACAUUAAAUUGAUUAAAACAAAUGAACUGUGAUUAGACUUGAUGAUCAUCUACAGUAAUUAACAAAUUAUUUUUUCUAAGCUACCAGUGAACACUAAAUUUGAUUUAAAAUGGAAUCAUCUUAAAAUAUCUGCUAUUUCACCUAAUUCAAAUAGUGAACCGAAAGUGAAUGCAAGUGUGCUUAUCAAAUCUCACGAAUACGAGCGAUCAAUUACCACUUCAUACUCCCUACACACGCUACAAAUAUAUUACUUGUUAUAUUUAUUUAAACUAGUAAAUACACUUAUAAUUAAUUAAUAAUUGAAGCACUCGUUAAGCGCUACGCUAGGCCUAGUAUUAUAAUGUGUGAUUGAGUGAUGCUAUCGUGCCAAUUAUCGCUAGAUUAGCCAAAAGAGCAUAGGAAUUUUCAGAAAGGGCAGAUGGCGAGGCAUUCUGUAGCAUUUUUGAAUAAUAGCGCUUUGAGCGUUCCUUAAGGGAGCGCCUAAUUUCAUCCAGACGCUGUUUGUACG